GCGGUCCCAGCCGGGACCAGCCGCGCUAUCCAGGCGCCCUGUGGCGCGGCCCGCCGAGACGCAAGGUCCUCCGCGCAGCCUAGAGAGGACGCGGAAGUCGGCUGGGGGCGGGGCCCGAGGCCCCUGCGCGUUGACCCCCGAUGCAGUUUAACGGGUUCUGUGAGGGUCGGCGGUAGUGUGUCGCUGAGGGCGGGCGUCCGCGUGUUGCCCUCUGUUCUCCCGUUUACCUCACCUAGCGGUGCCGCCCGCGCCCGAGGGGAGUGGGUGCGGGUCCCGAGUCCCCCGGCGAGGGUCGACGCCAGCAGUGUCUGUCCUCGUGCCCGGGUGGUCGGGGCCGUGCCACCCUCGGUGUCCCCCGACCGUCUCUUCUCAGGCGCGCCCAUCCCCCACUCCUCAAGUUCCCAGCGCCACUUCUCCCCCGAGGAGCAGGUUCUGGGACGACCCCGGGUCAUAGUGGACAAACCUCCUGUUGCCGGGGCCGGUGACCUUCGAUGAUGUGGACGUGGGCUUCAGAAACGGAGUGGACUCGCCUGGAGUGUCCUGAGAAGGCUCUUUACACGGACGUGACAUUAAAGAAUUACGGAAACGCCAUGGCACUGAGAUUUUCAGUCUAUAAAACUGAAGUGAUAAGCCACUUGGAAAGUGGGGAAGCCUUGUGCAUCUGGGCUGGACAAAGAACCCUAGCCAGAGUGUGGAGAGUGGUGCAAGAAGGAAAGGGAGAGAAGGAAGUGCACACAACAGGAUGCUACAUUGUUUCCUUAAACGAGAGAGAGAAUGCAAGAGAGCACAAGCUGGGAGAGCGGCAGAGGGAGAGGGAGAAGCAGGCUCCCCACUGAGCAGGGAGCCCGAUGCAGGACUCAAUCCCAGGACGCCGGGACCAUGACCUGAGCCGAAGGUAGACGCUUAACGACUGAGCCACCCAGGCGCCCCUGAAACAAAGGAAAUUCUGCCCCGUGCUAUGACAUGGAUGAACCUCAAAGACAUUGUAUUAGUGCAGUAAGGCAGUCACAAAAGGACAAAUACAGUUUGAUUCCACUUAUAGGAGGUACCUCGAGGAGCCAAAUUCAUGGAGAUGGAAAGUGGAGUGGUGAUUGCCAGGGGCUGGGGGGAAGUUAGUGCUUAAUGGGUAUGGGGUGUCAGUUUGGGCAGAUGAGAGAAGUUCUGGAGGUGGUUGCACUGCAGCUGGAAUGUGCUUAAUGCCAUUGAGCUUAUGCUUAAAAGUUACUACAUAAAUUUUAUGUUCUAUACAUUGUACCACAACUUUUUUUUUUUUUUUUUUUAAGAUUUUAUUUAUUUUUUUGACAGAGAGAGACACAGCGAGAGCAGGAACACAAGCGGGGGGAGUGGGAGAGGGAGAAGCUGGCUUCCCGCAGAGCAGGGAGCCCGAUGCGGGACUCGAUCCCAGGACCCUGGGAUCAUGACCUGAGCCGAAGGCAGACGCUUAACGACUGAGCCACCCAGGCGCCCUGUACCACAACUUUUUAUUAUUUUUUUAUUUUUAAAGAUUUUAUUUAUUUUUUUGACAGAGAGAGAGACAGUGAGAGGGAACACAAGCAGGGGGAGUGGGAGAGGGAGAAGCAGGCUUCCUGCGGAGCAGGGAGCCCGAUGCAGGGCUCGAUCCCAGGACCCCAGGAUCAUGACCUGAGCCGAAGGCAGACGCUUAACAACUGAGCCACCCAGGUGCCCCUGUACCACAACUUUUUUAAAAAAAGAGUGGUUGCAGGGUGCCUGCGUGGCUCAGGUGGUUAAGCUUCUGGCUCUUGGUUUCGGCUCAGGUCAUGAUCUCAGGGUUGUGGGAUGGAGCCCCGUGUCCCCCUCUGCGUGGGCUCUGCGCUCAGUGGGGAGUCUGCUUGAAGAGUCUGUCUCCCUCUGCCCCUCCCCUGACUCUCUCUGUCUCUCUCUCAAAUAAAUAAAUCUUUAAAAAAAAAGAGUGGUUGCUGGUUGGGCUUGUUCUUUCAGCCUGAGUGCAAUGGAGCAAAGCUGUAGCCAGCCACAGCCCGGCUAUGACAUGAGUAAGAAAUAAGUCUUUGCUAUUGUUUAAGAAAAUCAAGAAGUAAAUACAUUUUAUGUUUAUAUCUGAGCAUAAUAAAAAAAAUUCGAGAGAAAAUGUUUUUCAUUAAGUUCUUUGUGUAAAAAAGAAUGUGGAAAGUGAAUGGAUACCUCUCUUAAUCCUUUCCUUCAAGGAUUUAGAAUAAAAUCAUCCAGAUUUCAUAUAAGUAUAUAUGAUUUUUAUUUUUUUAUUUUUUUAAAUUUUAUUUUAUUAUGUUAAUCACCAUACAUUACAUCAUUAGUUUUUUUGUUUUGUUUUGUUUUUUUGUUUUUAAAGAUUUUAUUUAUUUAUUUGAGAGAGGGAAUGAGAUAGAGCAUGAGAGGGGGGAGGGUCAGAGGGAGAAGCAGACUCCCUGCUGAGCAGGGAGCCCGAUGUGGGACGUGGUCCUAGGACUCUAGGAUCAUGACCUGAGCCGAAGGAAGUCACUUAACCAGCUGAGCCACCCAGGCGCCCUACAUCAUUAGUUUUUGAUGUAGUGUUCCAUGAUUCAUUGUUUGCGUGUAACACCCAGUGCUCAUUCAGUACGUGCCCUCUUUAAUACCCAUCACCAGGCUAGCCCAUCCCCCCACCCCCUCCCCUCUAAAACCCUCAAUUUGUUUCUCAGAGUCCAUAGUCUCUCAUGGUUCGUCUCCCCCUCUGAUUUCCCCCCCCCUUCAUUUUUCCCUUCCUACUAUCUUCUUUUUUUUUUAACAUAUAAUGUAUUAUUUGUUUCAGGGGUACAGGUCUGUGACUCAUCAGUCUUACACAAUUCACAGCGCUCACCAUAGCACAUACCCUCCCCAGUGUCCAUCACCCAGCCCCCCCAUCCCUCCCACCCCCCACCAGGUAUAUAUGUUUUUUUAAAAGGAUCAAGCUGAACUUUGGUUUUCCCCUUACAGCACCUUACUGCAUCAUGAAACAUCUCCAGGUCUUUCCAUAUAAAUCUACUUUAUUCUCUCUGUAGCUCAUGGUAUUUCACUGCGGAGACAUGCCAUAUCUCCCUGACCAGUGGAGAUUUAUUAUUUGUUACACUUUUAGCCGUUUACUUAUUUAGUGGCCCAAGUUGAGAUGGUUAGGGUAUAUGUGGGAAGAUUUUUAAAUUCUAAAGUGAAGCUCACUUGGCUUCCACAGGAGGGAUGCUGGGUACUUACAGUCCAUUGUUGCCUCAGAGUCUGGUUUCUGAAGCAGAUUUGAAUGCAGGGUUAGAACUACAGGGCUGUGCGUACUCCCCCUUCUGGAAAUAUUCCUGCCUUGUGUGUCUGGUCUCUCCCUGGGCAUUGGGAAUGGGUCAGGGUACAAGGCAGAGGACUGCCUCUUUUUUUUUUUUGGUCCUCAGAAACUUUUCCCCCAGCCUCUGCCGGUCGUGGCCCUGAAGCCCCGACCCUCUGCAGAGGAAAGUCCUGAGGCCCGGUCAUGGUGGUCAUGGCGGCUGCAGCCCUAACCCUUGGGUCUGGGACUGGCGUUGCCUGGCCCUUCCGAGAGGAAUCUCCAUUAAGACGUGAUGGAGAAUUUCGGGAACGUGACCUGACUGGCCUAAUCUGAUCAUCUUCCUGGAACAAGGGGAAGCAUGAUGGGUACCAGAUCUGCCGGCCACUUGAGGAUGGAGGGCUUCGCUCACACCGGGAAAAUCGGAUAGAAACUUCUACAGGAAUACCCCAGUGUGCAUUUCCUCUCCCCUGGGUUAGCCAUGAGCACCUGGAGGACGGCCUCUGACGUCUGCCUCUGCCUGGGCCGUCUGCGUGCAGUGAAGACCCUGAGGAGCUUCGCCCGCAGCCGUUCCCCUUUACCUGCUGCUUUGUUUUCUUACCCCUUUCCUUCUGGGGCUUGACUUCAUCUCUACACGUCAGCUGACUGCGCUGUUCAUUCCCUAGAUGUUUUGCCCGGCCCUUCGUUCCUCCCUCUCACUCUGUGUUACCAGCACACUCGGCCUUCCCUGUCGGUGGCUCUCAGCCCCGUCCCAGCCCCCUUCCCUCCCUCACCGCGAUGGCUUGGGAGGACGAGGGCUCCCUCACCGCGAUGGCUUGGGAGGACGAGGGCUGCACACCAGCAUUCUCCCUUCGGUGCUUCUGUUCUCAGGUUGGUUUUGGCGCACAGUGGCUAUCAGGUCCUGCCGGGUUUUUAUUUGUCAGGUGGUGAGGGCGGAGGCAGGGAGGCAGAGGCGGCUGGGAAGCAGGGCAUUUCUGAGGACGCUCAGUUUGCAGGGAAGGCGUGGGGAGAACUCCCAAAGGCUGGGCCCCAGAGAUCUAAUUUUGUAGAAUGUCCUGAGUCCCGAGAAACCACAAGAGGUCUUAGAAGAAAAGAUCCUUCAAGUAUGGCGAGUGCGGGAAGAGGUCCCCUGGGAAGUCACGACCUCCUGCUUGGCGGAAAAUCUGCUGAGAGAGGUCUGCGCUCUCCCGUUCCUGCGGCCCACAGGAAUUGCGCUCGCCAGCAGUCUGAUUGAGGUAAGGAG